rnacentral:rRNA from 1 species
UACGUAGGUGGCAAGCGUUGUCCGGAAUUAUUGGGCGUAAAGCGCGCGCAGGCGGUUCCUUAAGUCUGAUGUGAAAGCCCACGGCCCAACCGUGGAGGGUCAUUGGAAACUGGGGAACUUGAGUGCAGGAGAGAAGAGUGGAAUUCCACGUGUAGCGGUGAAAUGCGUAGAGAUGUGGAGGAACACCAGUGGCGAAGGCGACUCUUUGGCCUGUAACUGACGCUGAGGCGCGAAAGCGUGGGGAGCAAACAGG